AAGAAAUGAUUCUGUGGUCAUGUAGAUUUGAAUGAAUGUUUUUGAUUAAAAUGUAUUCAAUAUAAUUGUGUUUUUGAUUUUGAGGCAAAUAUUUAAUUAAAUUUCAAAUAAAAAUGGUUGGAAUAAAAUCUACCCAUUGUAGUUAAAUAAAAUUUAAGCAUUAUAUUUAUCUAAUCCCAAAUGGAGAGAAUAUUGAGUUAAUUCAAAUUAAUGUAAUCGGGCUAAUUUUAAUUGAAAAGCACUUCCUGUCGAAGUGAGCCUUUUUAUUUAAAAAAUGCAGCAGGCCUACAAGGCAUUUGAAGAGAGUAGGCUACAGACAGUGAAUGUUCGUUUUCUUCCACAUUGCUCAUCUUGCAAAAUUUGACUGGUUGACUUAGGUAAGAAAACUUAUUUUGUUAUCACUGGGCUACUAAGAAAAACGCAUGUAGUAGUAUAUUACAAUAUAAAAUGAGUUAUCACAGAAAAAGAGACUCAGCAGCAACACAAAGUUGGCUUCUGUUGGAAGGCUAUGUGAUGUUGUUGCGCUAUAAUAUUGACACAGCAUCAUACAUUUUGGAAGAAUUCUUAUGUAUCGAAGUCAAACGUUUAUUUUGAAGGAUGUGGGUUACCUUUUUCUCUAUCAUGGUUCCUAGGUCUUUUGUGUGUUAAUAUCAUAUCCUAAGUAUGUUUUGUAUGAAAUUGCGUAAAUAAGUACAUCGCGUUUAAUUUUAAGGUUCCAUAAAGCGCAAUAUUUGGGGUUUUCGCUGGAUGAAGAUCUUAUAUUUCAGACGGCACUUGACGCAGUUCCGUUGGCUUUACUUCUCGUGUGUGGAGCUCGUCUUCCAGAGGCAGAUCAAUGCAGAAUUUCAAAGAACAACUACUGUACUUCUGGUACCGAAAUUUAUGUCUGUGUUUGACUGUCACACUCCCAAGCUACUGACGCCAUUUUGUGCCAAAGAUGGAGCACUUGGAAGAAAAUUGGAGAUCAUAAUGGAAAUGCUGCAGUGAUUGACUUCCUCCCCAGCACUCUUUGAUUGAGAGGACCAGAGAGAUUGUUCCUCGGUAUCUUACAAAAAAUACCUUGGAGAACAAGGGGGACAUCUUAUCAAAGAAUUCAACGACACUGAGAACUUGGAGGAACUUGAACAGCUCAUAAUGGCCAUUAAUGUGACCCCAAAGCGUGGAGCUUCUACAAGCAACUGCCCAAAGAACAUUGGGAUCCUCAUUAAGGGCGUGGAAGUCAUCACAGGACUUGGAGAUAUUGCAAGGGCUUGCAUUGUCCUCUUUGGCUUGACCUACGCGCUGAAUCUUGAUUAUCCCAGACUACUGAAGUACACCUUUGAGGUGUUCCAAUUUUUUUUCUUGGAACUGGAUGAUUCAAAGCUUUCUAACAAAGUCCAGUCCCUCAAGAACAAACUUCAGGCUUGAAAUGGGACUGUAUUGCAGUGCAGACUUUUGUGCUACACAAUGUUCAUCUUCUACAGAGCUUGGGAAUUGCACAUUUGAAAGUGCUAUGUUUGUAAGUUGGCACUGUUUUGUCCAAAAAAUGUCGUACAUUUCAAUUGUUGUAAAUUCAAAGUACAAAUGUAUUUUACUCAGUACAAUUUGCACUUUUAUUAUUUAUGUUUUGGCACAUGCCAUUAUGGAGUAUUUUUCUUUAAGAUCUUUACUGCUCCUUUUUUUUUUAAGUUGAAGUCAGCAUUUUGUCCUUUUCAAAGUUCUGAAAAAGUUUGAAAUGCUUGAGCAAACUUCUGGCUUGAAAAAAGAGACAGUAGUAGUUGCAGUGUACAUGAUUUGCUACACAAUGUUUAGCUUCUACAGAGCUUGGGAAUUACACAUCUGAAAGUGUUAUGUUUGUAAGUUAGCACUGAUUUGGACUCUUAUCCCACGAAUGUCAGUGAUAUUUCUAGUUCAAAGUACGAAAUGUUUAUUACUCUGUACAAAUUACACUUUUCUGCUUUUUUUUGGUACAUGCACCUCUGGAGGAUUUUCCUUUAAGAUCAUUAUUGACCCAAUUUAGUGUGAUGUGAGAUGAGAAAGCAUGGAAACAGGUUUAUAGACACAUCACCAUUCUGUAUGUAAUUUAUUUUUGUUUUUACAAAAUAGUUUAAAGUCAGCAUUCUGUCCUUUUCAAACUUCUGGCUUGAAAUGAGACUGUGGUUGCAGUGUACAAUGAUUUGCUACAAUGUGUCUAAAGCACAAAAGUGAAUUGUUAAUAAAAUUCUUAUUUGAGUA